AUUGAACGCUGGCGGCAGGCUUAACACAUGCAAGUCGAGCGGGGUGAGGUGCUUCGGUACUGAUCCUAGCGGCGGACGGGUGAGUAAUGCUUAGGAAUCUGCCAUUUAGUGGGGGACAACAUUCCGAAAGGAAUGCUAAUACCGCAUACGUCCUACGGGAGAAAGCAGGGGAUCUUCGGACCUUGCGCUAAAUGAUGAGCCUAAGUCGGAUUAGCUAGUUGGUGGGGUAAAGGCCUACCAAGGCGACGAUCUGUAGCGGGUCUGAGAGGAUGAUCCGCCACACUGGGACUGAGACACGGCCCAGACUCCUACGGGAGGCAGCAGUGGGGAAUAUUGGACAAUGGGCGGAAGCCUGAUCCAGCCAUGCCGCGUGUGUGAAGAAGGCCUUCGGGUUGUAAAGCACUUUAAGCGAGGAGGAGGCUACUUUAGUUAAUACCUAGAGAUAGUGGACGUUACUCGCAGAAUAAGCACCGGCUAACUCUGUGCCAGCAGCCGCCGUAACAC
rnacentral:rRNA from 1 species